rnacentral:lncRNA from 1 species
CAUUCAUACAAUGUCUGUACCUCGAGCAAGCAGAGCAAUAGAACUGCGAAGUAGCCAGCGUUCAAACUUUUCUCCAAAGCUUGUUUUCAACUCAUCACCGUUCUGAAAAAUGAUCCUGCUAGUGUAUGAGAAAGACUGAAUCAUGGAACGGAGGGGGCUGAGAAAGCUGCUCGCCUGCGGGACCUCCAUUUGAUGUCAUCUUUGUUUCCUGCUCUUCUACUUGCACUUCAGCUUUUUGUCUUUGCUGCUUCCUUGUUGCUUUUCUAAGGCAACAUCGUCAUAUCACAACCGUGUGUUUUUUUUG